rnacentral:lncRNA from 1 species
CUUUUCGGCUGGAAUGGGGAAUUUGUGAGGUAGGCCGGAAGUGGUGUUGCGGAGGGAAGUGUGGGGAGAGCAGAGGCGCAGCUCUGCUGGAGAGACCUGAGGCUUGCAGCGCUGGGCCCGGCCGGGUCGCUGCGGCUGGGCUGGAGGUCAAGGAUGCAUUCCAGGAAAGUUCUAUAAAAAUAUACCAUCAACUCCAACCUGAUAUUUGACCUAGCCAUGGAAAACCUCAUUGGCUCCUCACUGGAUCAGACCAUAAAAAUGAUCCAGGAAUGAAAAUCUAAGAUAAAUUCCCACCACUUCAAGAUGUUCUUAUACAAGUCAACAGUCUAGCAGAUCAGCCAGUCUCUUUCAUCAUCAAGCAGACAUACUCAAGAAAGAGGAAUAGUGAAGUGAAAUAUACAGAAGCAUGUUCAAGUUCAUCUGUUGAAUCUGGAAUUGUGAAUAGUGACAAUAUUGAGAAAAAUACUGACUCCAAUCUGCAAACUUCAACUUCAUUUGAGCCACAUUUCAAAAAGAAAAAAGAACAAGAACUGCACAGCCAUCUGGGAAGCCUUUAAAGUGGCGCUGGACAA